GACAGUUUGGGCUUACGAUGUCGUAUCAAUCCCACUGUCGAAUCGUAACUGUAGGACGACGGUUGUCGGUGCCGAUCUAAGGCGAACCGUAGAUUAUUUUACACGGGCUCGGGUCGGUUUUCGGUCGAACAAAGAAUUACGUACUACAUGGCUACGCGGACUGUAGAAUAAAGACCGUGGUGCGGACAGUAGUUCGGAGGACGGCAGACCCCCGUACCCCGUUGGCGCGAUCGAACGACGCGGAAACGAUGGCACACUGGCCACUGCCAACUCGUGCAUAUUGUUAUCAGCAACUGAUGCACAAAUUUUGCAACAUUACA